rnacentral:rRNA from 1 species
UACGUAGGGUGCAAGCGUUAUCCGGAAUUACUGGGCGUAAAGCGUGCGCAGGCGGUUUUGUAAGUCUGUCGUGAAAGCCCCGGGCUCAACCUGGGAAUUGCGAUGGAGACUGCAAGGCUUGAAUCUGGCAGAGGGGGGUAGAAUUCCACGUGUAGCAGUGAAAUGCGUAGAGAUGUGGAGGAACACCGAUGGCGAAGGCAGCCCCCUGGGUCAAGAUUGACGCUCAUGCACGAAAGCGUGGGGAGCAAACAGG